CUGGUCUCCAAGCACGCCCUUGUCAGCUCCGGCUGCCGGUCGUGGAUGCCUCGGAGGGAAAGCUAGGCUCCCGACCCCGGAUCCCGGAGCGCCGGUGCCAGCCCUGCCCACCCGAGGGCACUGGGUAAUAAAGAGGUCCGCGGUAGGCAGUGACAAAGACUCUCGCCUUGUCCAAACUUGAGUUAGGUUCCUUUGAGCCCUAUUCUCGCCUAGGCCUCCACCUAGGCCUUCCAGUCCGGCCCGGUACUAGCCCGAAUCCUGCUAAGUCAUCCCGUCACCCUUGAUAGCUGAUUGUGUUUGAUAGACCCAGUGCACAGCUGUGGAGCGACUGAGAUGAGCACGAGAAGAUCUCUGCCGUCCAGGAGCCUGCUGCCCACUUAGGAAGACCGGCAUGUAAUUAAAUGAAUAUUGUGUUAGAAGCAUCUGGGAGUUUUACCUGAAACACUCCUUAGGGAGGUGAUACUUACGUUGUUCUUUCCUGUCUGUCUCCCACAACAGCGGACGUUUUCUUAGGCAUGAAACACAAAAAGCAAAGUAAAGUGGGCUUGGGAAGAAUAGUCCUGAAGACGAGAGACACUGAUUUCCUCUCUUCUUUCAUUACUAAGCAUUUUGAAAGGAGACGAUAAUACAUCCUUCGUUUCCACGUUCUCUUUAAAGACUUCUGUGUUCUCACUUCUGUCCCCCGUCCUCUACUUGCACUGUUCUUAAACAUAGUAUCAUUGCCCUUUUCCAGUUUUGCUGCAGGGUAUUAAAGGAGAAGUCUUCUGUUAACACUGGAGCCGGUCUACAAAUGUGAGGAAGUAGUCGCAAUGGCUAGUGAAAUAUCAUGAAAAGGAGGUGAAUCUCUAGGAUCAGAGUUGCGGCCUCAUGGAUGGGCAAACCAGCUCCACCAAAAUAUUUUUGCACCAAGACUCUCCUUCAGGGUCACACUUGGAGGGCCUUAGUUUUAUGUUGUCGUUGUUUUUUUCGGAAGACAGUAUUUUCUUAAUAGACUUGUGAUGAUCAAAUACAAAAACGUAGGUGCAGUUGCCUGUCAGCUGUCUGGUCUAGGCAGACAUACGAUACACAUUUUUUCCAGAACAAAGAUUUCUGUGAAUCCACAUCCAUUAUUUCUGCUUUCCUACCGCCCACUCAACCCCAAAUCUACCAUAGUUCCUUAAUCUACUGAAGCAAGGGGGCUGCUCUGACGUGACUUGUUCUUAGUAAAUCCACACCUGGCCCUGGUCCACAGCACCACUUUAUACACAUUUUUUUAUGUCCUGGAUAAUGUGAACUACUUUUCAAAAGAAGUUUUCUGUGUGAGGAAGUUCGCCCUGAGCUGACAUCAGUGCCAGUCUUCCUCUACUUUGUGUGUGAGAUGCCUCCACCGCAUGACAACGAGUGGAGUAGGUCCUCAUCCAGGAUCCGAACCCCUGAACCCUGGACCACCGAAGAAGGGCAAGCAGAACUUUAACCACUCGGCAACCAGGCCGGCACCUAAUGUGAACUACUUUGAAAAGUGGAUCUAUCCCCUUCUGAGUGUCUAUGUCAUGGAAUACUUCUGAUUGGACUGCAAAGGAAACUUACAGGUCUUCCUCUGUUUUUCCUCCUCUUAAAAUCAGAGCCAGAAAUGCAUUUUUAGGAACUUUGUAGCACUCAGAGCCACCUUCCUUCAUCAGAACCUAGUUGAUGGUAUGUCCUAUUAACCUUGACCUAAAGAUAGUAUUCAGAGGCCCUCAGACCCUUUGCAAUUGUAUAUUAAAGUCUGUGUUUGUGCAUUUUGUUGUGAAAUGGAUCUGUAGCUCUUCCCAGAUUCUCAAAGGGGGUCUGUGACAUUGUACUGAGCUCGAGAACCUUGCUGCUCAGAUAGUGCCCUCAGCUGGCAGUGUCUGCAUUACCUGAGACCUCUCAGAAAGGCAGACUCAGACCUCACCCUAGACCCACUGAAUCAAAAUCUGCGUUUCAACAAGCUCCCAAGUGAUUCCUGUGACAUUUAACCUUUGAGAAGUAUAGCUCCAGCAAUUUCCCAAAUUUCCCUAACGAGAAUCAUCUGACCUGCUUAUUAAAUAUGCAGAUUAUCUG
ensembl:lncRNA